AACGAACGCUGGCGGCAGGCCUAACACAUGCAAGUCGAGCGGGGGAGCAAUCCCUAGCGGCGGACGGGUUAGUAACGCGUGGGAACAUACCCUUUGGUACGGAAUAGCCUCGGGAAACUGAGAGUAAUACCGUAUGUGCCCUUCGGGGGAAAUAUUUAUAGGAUGUAGAUGGGCAUGCGUAAGAUUAGCUAGUUGGUAAGGUAACGGCUUACCAAGGCUACGAUCUUUAGGGGCUCUGAGAGGAGUAUCCCCACACUGGCACUGAGAUACGGGCCAGACUCCUACGGGAGGCAGCAGUAGGGAAUAUUGGGCAAUGGAGGCAACUCUGACCCAGCCAUGCCGCGUGCAGGAAGACGGGCCCCUAAUGGGGUUGUAAACUGCUUUUUCCAGGGGGGAGAAACUUGCGCACGUGUUGCGCAAUUGACGGUACCCUGGGAAUAAGCAUCGGCUAACUCCGUGCCAGCAGCCGCGGUAAAGUCA
rnacentral:rRNA from 1 species